rnacentral:lncRNA from 1 species
CCACUUUACCCCUGCUCACGUUGGCUAUGCUUCUCUUCCCCCUUGAUGGUGUCGGAUUCUGAGUUGGACAGGGCUCUGUCUCCUCCCAUUUGGAAGACUGUAGAAAAUCCAGCUCUGUGCUUCAGAGAUCUCAGCCCAGCUUUCUCAUCUUUUACCUUAUUUCACUGCCUCAAAGGGAUCGAACUUGGGACCUUCCGCUUGGGAGGCAGGCGCCGGAACCACUGAGCUAAAUCCCUGGCCCCGAGUUGGGAGAGAGGAAGAUGCUGGAGAUUUGAUAAUCCAUCUCUGAGACUGGGACAGUGAACUCACCUGGGCUAUAUACAUCAGAAUCACAGAGAAUGCUGUUGAGAUAAGAAGUCGCAAAUGUAAAGUUGAGAAAAAAGGACUCUGAGAAUCACUGUUUUCCAGAGGAAGAAACUAGUGCACACGGACCAAGGCUUGCUGAAGUGCCACGUCAUGAGGAAAGGACAGACUGAACUGAAAUUCUGACUUCCAGUCAUGUGUUCUUUCAUGUCAAGGUGCAGUAGGCCUGACGUAUUAGAGGGGUACACUGAAG